GUAUAUAUAGUUUAAUAAAAACAUUAGAUUGUGAGUCUAACAAUAGAAGUUUAAACCUUCUUGUCUACC
rnacentral:tRNA from 1 species